UUAAUUCAUUCAAAUUGGUAGAGUACAUCGAUACAAUGAAAAUUCGCUAAAAACAAAAAGGAUGAAUCUGUGAACAAACUCACAGCAUCCAUGUUAAUAAUAUAAAACGGCAAAGUACUAAAGCCUACACAUAUGACUAUAUUUAAGUCUCUGGAAUACCCAUGUCUCCGAAUUUGCAACGUUGACGACUUCAAAGUCAUUGAUUUGAUCUGCACUGGAUCGAAGCUGAUCUGACAAUCUGAACCGAACAAAUACCUGAACGAAACAAGAAAGGCAAACAACGUCGUACAAAGA
rnacentral:lncRNA from 1 species